rnacentral:tRNA from 1 species
GCUCCCAUCGUCUAGCGGUCAGGACGCGGCCCUCUCAAGGCUGAAACACCGGUUCGAUUCCGGUUGGGAGCGCCA